rnacentral:rRNA from 1 species
CAGGGGGAUAACCCGCGGAAACGCGGCCUAAUACCCCGUGACGCCACCGGAGGGCAUCCUCCGGUGACCAAAGGAGCGAUCCGGUGGCGGAUGGGCAUGCGGCGCAUUAGCUAGACGGCGGGGUGACGGCCCACCGUGGCGACGAUGCGUAGGGGUUCUGAGAGGAAGGCCCCCCACACUGGGACUGAGACACGGCCCAGACUCCUACGGGAGGCAGCAGUGAGGAAUAUUGGUCAAUGGGCGGAAGCCUGAACCAGCCAAGUCGCGUGAGGGAUUAAGGCCCUGCGGGUCGUAAACCUCUUUUGCCGGGGAGCAGUGGUCCGGACGCGUCCGGACCGGGAGAGUACCCGGAGAAAAAGCAUCGGCUAACUCCGUGCCAGCAGCCGCGGUAAUACGGAGGAUGCGAGCGUUAUCCGGAUUUAUUGGGUUUAAAGGGUGCGUAGGCGGGCAUUUAAGCCGGCGGUCAAAUGUCGGGGCUCAACCCCGGCCUGCCGUCGGAACUGGGUGCCUUGAGUGGGCGAGAAGUAUGCGGAAUGCGUGGUGUAGCGGUGAAAUGCAUAGAUAUCACGCAGAACCCCGAUUGCGAAGGCAGCAUACCGGCGCCCUACUGACGCUGAGGCACGAAAGUGCGGGUAUCGAACAGGAUUAGAUACCCUGGUAGUCCGCACAGUAAACGAUGGAUGAUGUCUGUCCGGGCCGAAUGAGGCCUGGGUGGCACAG